GUCUACGGCCACACCACCCUGAAUGAGCCUGAUCCUGGAAGCUAAUCAGGGUUGGCCCUGGUUAGUACUUGGAUGGGAGAAAGAAAGGUAGGUUAGGAUCUUUAGUCU
ensembl:rRNA 5S_rRNA 5S ribosomal RNA